rnacentral:rRNA from 1 species
CCCUUAGAUGUUCUGGGCCGCACGCGCGCUACACUGAUGCAUUCAACGAGUUUUUCCUGGUCCGAGAGGAAUGGGUAACCUUUUGAAAGUGCAUCGUGCUAGGGAUAGACUAUUGCAAUUAUUGGUCUUCAACGAGGAAUUCCUAGUAGACGUAGUUCAUCAGACUGCAUCGAUUACGUCCCUGCCCUUUGUACACACCGCCCGUCGCUCCUACCGAUUGGAUGGUCCGGUGAAGCCUCGGGAUUGUGGUUCUUGCCGCUUUAUUGUGGCGUGACCGCGAGAACUUGUCUAAACCUUAUCAUCUAGAGGAAGGUGAAGUCGUAACA